AGCCUUUUGCAUCCGUGCUGAGAUUUCGUCUCAUACCAGACGAUGAGACUCCCAAGAUGAGUGAAGUG
rnacentral:pre_miRNA from 1 species